rnacentral:rRNA from 1 species
AACGAACGCUGGCGGCAGGCCUAACACAUGCAAGUCGAGCGCGCCUUCGGGUGAGCGGCGGACGGGUGAGUAACGCGUGGGAAUAUGCCCUUCUCUACGGAAUAGUCCUGGGAAACUGGGGGUAAUACCGUAUACGCCCUUUGGGGGAAAGAUUUAUCGGGGAAGGAUUAGCCCGCGUUGGAUUAGGUAGUUGGUGGGGUAAUGGCCUACCAAGCCGACGAUCCAUAGCUGGUUUGAGAGGAUGAUCAGCCACACUGGGACUGAGACACGGCCCAGACUCCUACGGGAGGCAGCAGUGGGGAAUCUUAGACAAUGGGGGCAACCCUGAUCUAGCCAGGCCGCGUGAGUGAUGAAGGCCUUAGGGUUGUAAAGCUCUUUCAGCUGGGAAGAUAAUGACGGUACCAGCAGAAGAAGCCCCGGCUAACUCCGU